rnacentral:misc_RNA from 1 species
GAAAUGCGAUAAGUAAUGUGAAUUGCAGAAUUCAGUGAAUCAUCGAAUCUUUGAACGCACCUUGCGCUCCUUGGUAUUCCUUGGAGCAUGCCUGUUUGAGUAUCAUGAAAUCUUCAAAGUAAAUCUUUUGUUAACUCAAUUGGUUUCUACUUUGGUAUUGGAGGUCUUUGCAGCUUCACACCUGCUCCUCUUUGUUCAUUAGCUGGAUCUCAGUGUUAUGCUUGGUUCCACUCGGCGUGAUAAGUUAUCUAUCGCUGAGGACACUGUAAAAGGUGGCCAAGGUAAAUGCAGAUGAACCGCUUCUAAUAGUCCAUUGACUUGGACAAUACUUUUAUCAUCUGAUCUCAAAUCAGGUAGAACUACCCGCUAAACUUAAGC